ACCUCAGCUCAAGCAAGAAAACCCGCUGAACUUAAGCAUAUCAAUAAGCGGAGGAAAAGAAACUAACAAGGAUUCCCCUAGUAACGGCGAGUGAAGAGGGAAAAGCUCAAAUUUUAAAUCUACCUGGUUCCCAGGUCGAAUUGUAUUUUGAAGAAUCGAUAUCGGUGUUGAGGUCUGGUUCAAGUUCUUUGGAACAAGACAUCAUGGAGGGUGAGAAUCCCGUGCAUGAUCAGACCAAGAUACUUUAUAUUCGUUUUCUAAGAGUCGAGUUGUUUGGGAAUGCAGCUCAAAUUGGGUGGUAGACUUCACCUAAGGCUAAAUAUCAGCGAGAGACCGAUAGCGAACAAGUACUGUGAAGGAAAGAUGAAAAGCACUUUGAAAAGAGAGUUAAAUAGUACGUGAAAUUGUUGAAAGGGAAACGAUUGAAGUCAGUCAUGCUAGUGAAAAUUCAGUUUGACGGGUUUUGGGUUUAGGAGUAAGAGAUAGGGUCAAACCAUCUCUCUUUUAAACUUGGGAUUUGUCGGAUGCACUUUUUCUUUGGCAGGUCAGCGUCGAUUUCGGGGGUUGUAAAAUACUUGGGGGAAAGUAGCUCUGCUUCGGGAGAGUGUUAUAGACCUUGGGAGAUGCAGCCCGUGGGAUCGAGGAUUGCAGCAAAUGCCUUUGGCUUGUCUUCUGAUCUUUGAUUGUUACCUCGUUUAUGACAACAUUCUUGCCAUCGAUGAGUACUAGUGGUUAUGGGUUAGAAUGAUCAAAAAUUUGCUAAGGAUGCUGACGUAAUGGCUUUAAACGACCCGUCUUGAAACACGGACCAAGGAGUCUAACAUAUAUGCGAGUGUUA
rnacentral:rRNA from 1 species